UCGCGACCCCAGGUCAGGCGGGACUACCC
rnacentral:rRNA from 3 species